rnacentral:tRNA from 1 species
UCCCUGGUAGCUCAGAGGUUAAAGCAUCUGCCUGCAAUGUGGGAGACCCGGGUUCGAUCCCUGGGUUGGGAA